rnacentral:tRNA from 1 species
GUCUCGAUGGUCUAAAGGCUUAAGACGCUCGCAUGGAAUGCGAGCAGAGAUCCGGGUUCGACUCCCGGCCGAGGCA